CCUACGGGAGGCAGCAGUGAGGAAUAUUGGUCAAUGGACGAGAGUCUGAACCAGCCAAGUAGCGUGAAGGAUGACUGCCCUCUGGGUUGUAAACUUCUUUUAUAUGGGAAUAAAAUGUUCCAUGUGUGGGAUUUUGUAUGUACCAUAUGAAUAAGGAUCGGCUAACUCCGUGCCAGCAGCCGCGGUAAUACGGAGGAUCCGAGCGUUAUCCGGAUUUAUUGGGUUUCAAGGGAGCGUAGGUGGAUUGUUAAGUCAGUUGUGAAAGUUUGCGGCUCAACCGUAAAAUUGCAGUUGAAACUGGCAGUCUUGAGUACAGGAGAGGUGAGCGGAAUUCGUGGUGUAGCGGUGAAAUGCUUAGAUAUCACGAAGAACUCCGAUUGCGAAGGCAGCUCACUGGACUGCAACUGACAGUGAGGCUCGAAAGUGUGGGGAGCAAACAGGAUUAGAUACCCUUGUAGUC
rnacentral:rRNA from 1 species